rnacentral:lncRNA from 1 species
GUGUGAAGCUGCGGACCCGUGUUUUCGACUUGGAGCAACAAAACCGUAUUUUGAGCAUGCUGUUUCAACAGCGAGUCAAAAUGUCCACUGCUCCUGUCUCCCAGGAGUUCCAAAGAAAUGGAAAAGCUGGAAUUCCAGCAGGAAGGUGGCCAAGCCUACUUAGUCUAACAUGCCCACGAAGCAGUGUGAGUGGCAGUGGGAGUGAGCAGUCACUGUCCAGUGCAUGUAGCGAGUACUCCAGUGGUUCCCACACAUGGGCAGAAGGACGUGGUUUCACCAAACAGUGUGCCAUAAACAGAGACAAAAGGAUAAGUGCAGGCUCAGUUUCCAGCUACCAUUCCACGACCAGUGAACAAGCAGACUUGGGAUGGAAGGAAGGCCACAUAUUGAAAGGCUUGAAACGUCUUCAAAUGUCCAACUUGAAAGAGGCUUCAUCCCUUGCAUCUGUUCCACACUGCAAAGAUUGUAUGACUUCAAAUGAAGGCAUUUAUUCUCUUGGUGUCAAGUGUGGCCAGCAAAGUACUGCAACAAAAAAACCUGCACCUACAACCAAACUCGUCAUCCCUGAACUGCAAAUUCCCACCCUGGACUCUGAUGGUGCAGAAGAGGAACCAAAUAAACUGGGAAAUGGAGAAUCUAACAGCCACACAGAAAAUGUACUUCUCUGCUUAGAAAAUCUGGAUGCCAGCAGGGAUAUUGUUCAAAAUAUUCAAGAUGAUCCUGUGAAACUGUUUCACUCCCCCGUCACUGACAAUUACCAAUUUUUGGAAAGCCCUUUGUUAAAACCUGGCAUAAGUCCAACUGAUAGCCUCACACAGUUGGGGGACAAAAACAAAAGUUCAUUAGAAAAAGGCAAAAGUAUUAAAUUUAGUGACAAAAAUAAUAAUCAAGAAAGAUCUACUGAACGCAAAUCCCGACUUGAUCAGAUCAAAAGACAACAAGGGAGACUUCCUAUUAAGCUGAUUGAAAGUGGAACAAAUAUUGUUAGCCUCUCUGUUCAGCAUACUGGCACACAAGCUUUGAGCUGCAUGAAUGAAGCCAGACAGCGCAGCUCAUCACUGGAUGUCCCUUACUACCGAAAUCAGGGAAGUCAACCUGGUAGUGAAAAUCAGGACCUCAGCGAUUCAGAGUCUUCACAAAGGAAACCCAAACCUCAGCUUUGUGACUCAGCAAGAAAAGCGUUCAUUCUCCGAAGCAAAAGUGCAGAUGCAGGACAAGACCAACUCAAGCAUACACAUUCCCCUCUUCACCAGAAACUUAUCAAAGACCCUAAAUCUAAAGGACAGUUAAUCCAGAACCCUACUGCGCACAGUGUUCCCAACAAGCGAACAAAUCUAAGUAAAACUCAAGCUUCAAGCAAAGGCUUGUUGUGUGAAAUUGAGAAAGAUGGCUCUUUGCCAGUAUCAACAAGCUCCAAGUCCCUUGAGUGUGUACGAUCCCCUCUUGCCUCUCCUGUGAAACACUCAAAGACGUGCAGGACCCCUGUGGUUUGUGACAGCUCAAAAAGUCCAACAAAAUCAUCUUGGCCAAACACCAAAUUCCCUUUAAAUAAUGACUCCAUCGAGGAAAACAUCUAUGACAACCAGCCCUGUUCUCCAAGAAAACAACGGCGUCAAGACAAGCACUGGGAUGCAUCCCUUCCUGAAUAUUGGCCACAAUCCCCACCUCUACCUCCUGGUCGAAGUACCUCUCUACUUGAGCCUAUUAACAACUCAACAAAUGAUCAAACAUCUUCAGGUCAGCUACAAAGCUCUACUACUGGGAAGAUAAUCAACAUACAAGACAAUCAACACAUGGGUACAGAUGGUGAGCUACUGAAAAACCUUCCUGCUCAAAACUAUCAUGGCCACUUAUCCAAAAUAAUACAAGGUCAAGAAUCACUAGGCACAGAAUCAAUUCAGUUACUUACAGAUCAAACCGCUACAUCCUUUAAUGAAAAUUGUGCUUUCUCUCUUUUGCCAAGUCAGAGCAUUUUGCAAAGAUCCCAGCAGAGUAUUAGCGAGCCAAAGCUUUCUGAAGUAAUACCUCCAGUUUACUCUAAUAUUUACUACCAUGGGAUUGCCAAGAAUCCUCAGAUUUCUGUCUCGAGAGCUAUUAAAAGAAGUCUUCCAGUAAAUGCUAAGUCUCACGAGGCUAUUGCAGGACAGGAAACAAAUACCUUUCUUAUCUUUGGAAGACAAAACCAAGAGGAUUCAAAUAUGUCCGCACAGAGAGCCCAGAGCUUUCAGACUUUUACAUGUGAUCCCCAGAUGAUUCAUGACUGUGGAGCACAUGAGAAAGCCCACAAGAAGAUUGAGCUACGAUGUAACUCAUUAGAUUCAGAGCCCACUGUUCAACCAGUCGCAUCAGACAGUGGUGUAAUGUUAGACUGGGGAUUUGAUGAAGAAGGUUGGCUUUUCAAGCGCUCUGUGUCUGUAUCUACAAGGCCUCCACUGAAACCAGUUAUGGGAAUGAAUGGAGCAAAGGCUAGAAGUCAGAGCUUUGGUGCACGCUACAUGGACAGACCAAGCUUUAACAGAUCUGGAAAGGUUCGCACACAGAUCAAAACACACUCAGGGAGUUCCUUGAACUCUCUUGGUGAUGUUCUUCCAGGCAGUAUGAGUUGCUCCAGCAGCUACCAUUGUCCAAUGAAUCGAUCCCUGUUGAAUAACUUUUUAAUUGAAGAAGGACUAGCUGUUCCCUCACAUUUGGGGUCUUCCAGUGAGAGACUACAGAGUCUGAAACAACAGCGAGAGCAGGCUAGGCGUCUUCAGAUUGAACAGCAGUUCUCAAGUGCAUUUGGGGAGCCGGUCUCUGAAGAACCAGAAAGGCAAAGUACAAUAACUACAAUUGAAGAGAAAGUGAUGCUCGGUAUCGAGGAGAACUUACACAAAUCUAAAGAGCAGGAGCGAAGCCAAGAAGUUAAACAAAAACCUGGCUCAAGCUUGGCAAACUGGUUUGGCUUUCGUAAGAGUAAACUUCCUGCUCCAAGUAACAAAAAAGCUGACCCACCAAAAGCUAAAGAAGAAAAAAGGGAGCAAAAGAUUACAUCACUUCUUGGAGGAAAGCAGACAAAGGCAGAGAAAAAGAGAGACAGAAGGAAAAGCGAUGGCAAAGACAGCUCUGUGGGGAGAAGAGAGUCUCAUGAUGCAGUGCGAGCCUGCAUCUCAGUACCAUGCCCGGGAAUGUCAGUGAAUGAGAUACAAGGGUGUACAGACAUCAGUGGUGAUCCAAAGACGCAGACGAUGAACCGAAGAACUGAUGGUGAAAGUGGAACAACAGUGAAGAGCCCCACUCAAGACACAGUAAUAGGCUCCGGCUGCAAGAUGCGAACGUUGGACAGUGGAAUUGGGACCAUCUCCCUUCCCGAAUCCUGCUCCUUCUUCUCCUCCAUCCUGCACCUCCUCCCCAAAUCCACAUCCACCCCAGAACAGUCCCUCAGUCCUCCCAGUGUCCCCUGUUCCUCCGGAGAGGAUGUGUCCCCCUCCCCAUUACCUCGGUGGAGGAUCCCCUCCAGCGUUAAAGACAGAGGGAACACAGGGGUUCCUAACUCCCUGUCUGACUCCUCCAUGACUCGUGUCCAGUCAGUGCCUUUCCCCACGGUGGCCUUCCUGCAGCCCCUCCAACCCCUGUCUCAACCCCUUAUGACCUCUGCAAGUGUGUAUGAUACCCAGAGCAGGCUGCCCAGACCACCACAAGGUGGAAUGGAACCAAAGAAGAUGACCUAUGUCAAAUCGAAAUCACGAGCCACAGUGAGUCAACAGACGGAACAGACAAGGCUUCAGCUGGCCAACUAGCUCCAACGCCUGAGGCGGAGACUUAAAGAACCAACAGACUUAUCUUCCUGACACACAUGGGGAAUCUUGCCACCCACAGUUUGGACUCUGCUGGUGUUUCCUGAUUAUACUGAAACUGAACAAUGAUUGAGUCUGGCAUUGGAAGUUUCCACCAGUGUUCAAUGCAGCAUUAAGAUAGAAAAACACCCAAACUAUGUUGGCAGCUAUUUUGGAGGAUGUGUCUCACUGAAGUCAAUUACUAAUCAGGUUCCAAAAUGUAACAGUUCGUUUCAUCUUCAGACACACACAUCGCCUCAGAGCUCAUAUUUCUCUUCUAGCUGUGUAUGUUUCUGCUUUUGCGGCGACUAUUUUUCCAAACAUAUGUGACUGCUUUUCUGCUUCAUCAGUGGCCGGCUAGCGACUUUAACAGGGUACAAGUCAUUUUUAUUCUGAGCUUUGAGGAGCUACAGUUAAAGUGAGUAAAGUGUAGUUUAGGAGAUAUGUGUAGUGACAGAGCUACACGCAACUGCACCAGGACAGUUCAACCUUUGACAAAAUCCAAAUACAAUAGAACCAGUAGGCUACUCCUUUUACACAAGUCAUUCAUCAAUACAAAGAAAAAAUAGCUUAAUCACUUACAUUUUAUUCCAUUUUAUUUACUUUCAUUUACAAUGUUUUACAUUUACUUCAAGUCAAUCUGUUUUUACAGCAUUAUUGCUUGUGUACAUGCAAUGGCUGUACAGUAAUUUAACACAAGCCUCAUCGUACUGCAUGUUUCUGUGCUUGCAAAAGAUAACCAACAUAAAGAAAAUCACGAUAUAUCAUUAUGCCAUAAUCAGCAGGUAUAAAAAGCUGGAGGUUUAUGUUUAAAUGAGUUCUCUAUGCAUGUGAAUGCAGCUCGAGCAGAAUGUUUGCUUGUUUUCAAAAUGAAUGAAUCCAAUAAAUGAGCAUUUACUAGUGUUCUGUAGCUCGAU